UACGGAGGGUGCGAGCGUUGUCCGGAAUCACUGGGCGUAAAGGGCGCGUAGGUGGCGACUCAAGUCAACGGUGAAAGCUCGACGCUCAACGUCGAGUCGGCCGUCGAAACUGGGACGCUUGCGCACUGUAGAGGCAGAUGGAAUUCCGGGUGUAGCGGUGGAAUGCGUAGAGAUCCGGAAGAACGACCGGUGGCGAAGGCGGCAUCCUGGACCGAUACUGACGCUGAGGAGCGAAAGCCAGGGGAGCAAAGCGGG
rnacentral:rRNA from 1 species